UGUAAUUUAUAAUCAUGGUCGGCCCAAUACAUGGGCAAAUUGGGCAAAGGCUAGGGCAUAAAAAAAUAAAGGGCAUAAUUUCAAUCCAUUAAUAUUGUUAGGUAUUAUUUGUGUUGUAUGCUACCGUUGAAUUUUAGGUUGUCGUCAGUAAUUGGCAAAAAAAAAAAAAAAAAGACGCAGUUACUUCAAUCUGAUGCAGGCAUGCAAAGGCGUGGGAAAUCAAACGAUUGGCUAUGUAAUAGACGCCUACUCACUUAGAAUAAGGAAGCGUCGAUGACUUUGUGAAUCAGGAUGUAGAAACGAUAAACGAGGAGUCUCUAUUGUCGAUUUUUUUUUCAAAACACAAGAUUUAUAGAUACUCUCCCACUUACGAAUCUAUUUCAUAUAUGCUUAGCCAUCCAAUUUUGUAUACCCCCGUCCCUCCUUUAAUCGAUUUCUGAAUGCCCUUUCACCCUCUAUCCCGAUUUCUUAUGUAUAGCCAAUUUAUGGAUAUCUAAUUCUUAAAAGUGAAGACAGGAGUUGAAGACUUCAGACUUGGACACUUCAGCCUACAGGAGGAUGUAUAUUUUUUUGUCUAAAGUUCUGAUUCAUGAUGUUGUACUAGAGGCAGAAACGACAUUAGCCGACGAUGUUGAAUGAGUGAGCACAUAAUUAUAGUGUUCUCCUAAACUUUUAACUUCUCGGUUCACUCAUUCUUUCAUUGUUUCACACAUCGCAGAGGGCAUAAUCUGGUUCUCUAAUUUCUUUCCCUCAUUCAUAGAUAAAGAGAUCCAACAGCUCAAUUUAGAAUUGAAAUAAAAUCAAGGUUUAAAGUUUCAACAGUUUGAAACUCAUUAAAUCUUCAAAGACGAAUUGUUUUGGGAUAGGAAUCAAAGUUUAAUAGUGGAAAAGUAACAACCUAGAAGUUCAAUGCUAAUGUUGGUCUCAGUUCCAAAGUACAUUGCUUUUGUGUGCAUUGAUGAAGAUGUUUCUCACCCACUGAUCUACUAUAUUUUAGGGUCUGAAUUGAAGGUUUUAUGAUUCCAUGAGUUCGAUGUGGUUUUUGACACAAUUUUAUGGUAUAAUGAAAUUCUAUUUGGAAUGAUAGCUUGUGAUGUAAACAAGAAAGCUUGAAUGCGUAUUUUUAUUUUAUUGUGAUAAACCUCUGGUAGGAAAAAGAGUUGACAUUUAUGUUGCAAAUACUAAAAGCUAAUAACAUAUGGGUGUCUUUCUUGAA